rnacentral:lncRNA from 1 species
UGGUGAAACUUUCUCAGUGUUCCACCUACUCCCUUUCCAUCUCCUUGCUGGGCUAAGAAAAGGAUUCUGAUGAAGAAAUCAAAGUUCAGGAAUGGUAAAUGUUCUGAUCAAGGUUGUUCUGCUGGAGUGGUGGUUGAUCUCAAGCUUCCCGCAAGCCUGUUGACUACAGCAUUGAUCAGUUCGCCUAAGUUUCCUGACUGUAAAUAUCAUGGCUGAUUCUAAUAUCAUGCACAAAGCCUGUCAUUCAGAGAGAUGGUGCUACAAAUUGUUUUACAGUUUUAGUUGUGUUCAAAUCAACCAAGUAUAAAUCAGAAUGUCAUCAAGGCUAUGAGCUCCACCUUUCUAAAUCUGGGUAUUCCACUUCCGAGAAGGGUUUUGUGCCUGAGAGGUUGAUAUCUGCAACUGUCUCAAGGCUCUAACUUUUCAUAAACACUAUUGCAAACUAGUUUAGGUUGUACAAGAGAAGACUUUCUUUUAAAAAUCAAAAGUAUAGGUUUUGAUUCAUCUUUGCAAGAUGGGAGAAAAAAGCAGAAAUAAAGUCUAGCCUCCCAGAUGACCUCAAUAUUGGAAAUGACCCAUGCAAGCACUUUCACUGAGAAGUGAAUAAAACUAGGAUAAAUUGCUGCCAGAUUUAGUGUACAACAGGUCUGAUUUUGUUGCUUCACAACUUUUUUUCUCAUCAAACAGUAGAGUGGACUUCGACAUGGAGAAGAUCCUGUCAAAACUUCACUCACACUCCCUAAUUCAGAGGGGUGAGGGCAGGUAGUGGGGCAAAGAGCCAUGAUACACAAAGUGCAGGCCACUGCCCCCCACUUCAACCUGACCUAAUCCAUCAUGGGAGUUCACAUUGCCUCAGCCAAAAUAAAUAGAGAGACGCCCUUCUGCACAACGGAGACUUGUCUAGCUGUGACUGCCUACUCGUCACCUCUCAACAUCCACUCAAACCCCCAAGCUACUGAAUGCCUAAUAUAAAUGCAUAGCAAAAUGUAAA